rnacentral:rRNA from 1 species
CCAAGGGAUGCCUCAGUAACGGCGAGUGAAGCGGCAAAAGCUCAAAUUUGAAACCCUCGGGAUUGUAAUUUGAAGAUUUGGCAUUGGAGAAAGCUAACCCAAGUUGCUUGGAAUAGUACGUCAUAGAGGGUGACAACCCCGUCUGGCUAACCGUUCUCCAUGUAUUGCCUUAUCAAAGAGUCGAGUUGUUUGGGAAUGCAGCUCAAAGUGGGUGGUAAACUCCAUCUAAAGCUAAAUACUGGUGAGAGACCGAUAGCGAACAAGUACUGUGAAGGAAAGGUGAAAAGAACUUUGAAAAGAGAGUGAAAUAGUAUGUGAAAUUGUUGAUAGGGAAGGAAAUGAGUGGAGAGUGGCCGAGGUUUCAGCCGCCCCUCGUGGGCGGUGUACUGCCGACGCCGAGUCAUCGAUAGCGAGACGAGGGUUACAAAUGGGAGCGCCUUUCGGGCGUUCUCCCCUAACCCUCCACACUGCCACCGACGACAUAAUCCACCCAUUUCACCCGUCUACCACCCGGGAACCAAA